AAUGGGGUUUUCCUUUUCACCAUGCAGUACAAGCUCUUCAUGCGAUAGCAGCAGAACUUGGAAAGGAAGACUGGAAUUUCAGUGAGAACCCUUGCAAUAAUAAGUCGAGCUGGUAUACGCCUCCACUGCCACCCAACGUUCCUCAGCCAAGGGUGAUGAAGAACAGCAGUGUCACCUGCAAUUGCAUCUUAAAUGGUGGUCAAUGCCAUAUUUAUACCAUCCGUCUCACAGAGCAGGAUUUAAGUGGUGUUCUUCCACGCUCACUCGCGAAGCUACCCUACCUCAAAGACAUUGUGCUCUUUAGGAACUUUCUCUCUGGUACAAUACCUCGUGAAUGGGCUACUAUGAAACUGGAAUUCGUGUCUAUUUCUCAGAACCGCUUAUCCUGGCCAGUUCCAAGCUAUUUGGGGAACAUUGCAACUCUUAGAGUUUUGAGUCUUGAAGACAACCUGUUUUCUGGAACUAUUCCCCCCGAGCUGGGGAAACUGGUUAACAUGGAAACUCUCAUUCUUAAUCCUAUCUAUCUCACAGGAGAGUUGCCUCCGGCCCUUGCCAAUUUGGUCAGAAUGAAGUUCGGAUUAGCAGUAAUAACUUCACUGGAAAGUUACCCAACAUUUUUCAAAGUUGGAAGCAACUCCAGAUAUUAGAGAUUCAAGCCAGUGGGUUUGAAGGGCCGAUUCCUUCCAACUUAAGUCUGUUGAAUAGCUUAGUUGAAAUAAGAAUCAGCGAUUUACAUGGAGAGGGUUCAAGAUUUCCAAACCUACAUAACAUGAAAAACUUAAGCAGAUUGAUGUUGAGGAGCUGCAAUAUAUCUGGAUCAAUCCCACCAUAUAUAUGGGAAAUGCCAUUGCAAACCAUGUAAUUACUAUUUUGAUUGAUUUCAAUUUUCAUUCGUUACCUGCCUAUAUUUAGACAUUGAAAUAUCAUUUUUCAUUCUUGUGAG